AAGUGUGGACGCCAGUCUGCAUGGAGCCGACCUUGAAAUACCACCCUUUAAUGUUUGAUGUUCUAACGUGGACCCGUGAUCCGGGUUGCGGACAGUGUCUGGUGGGUAGUUUGACUGGGGCGGUCUCCUCCUAAAGAGUAACGGAGGAGCACGAAGGUUGGCUAAUCCUGGUCGGACAUCAGGAGGUUAGUGCAAUGGCAUAAGCCAGCUUGACUGCGAGCGUGACGGCGCGAGCAGGUGCGAAAGCAGGUCAUAGUGAUCCGGUGGUUCUGAAUGGAAGGGCCAUCGCUCAACGGAUAAAAGGUACUCCGGGGAUAACAGGCUGAUACCGCCCAAGAGUUCAUAUCGACGGCGGUGUUUGGCACCUCGAUGUCGGCUCAUCACAUCCUGGGGCUGAAGUAGGUCCCAAGGGUAUGGCUGUUCGCCAUUUAAAGUGGUACGCGAGCUGGGUUUAGAACGUCGUGAGACAGUUCGGUCCCUAUCUGCCGUGGGCGCUGGAGAACUGAGGGGGGCUGCUCCUAGUACGAGAGGACCGGAGUGGACGCAUCACUGGUGUUCGGGUUGUCAUGCCAAUGGCACUGCCCGGUAGCUAAAUGCGGAAGAGAUAAGUGCUGAAAGCAUCUAAGCACGAAACUUGCCCCGAGAUGAGUUCUCCCUGAGACUUUAGGUCUCCUGAAGGAACGUUGAAGACGACGACGUUGAUAGGCCGGGUGUGUAAGCGCAGCGAUGCGUUGAGCUAACCGGUACUAAUGAACCGUGAGGCUUAACCUUACA
rnacentral:rRNA from 1 species